AGCAGAGGCGGUCCGAGCAGUGUCCCCAUCAACCCGAAGGUCAUGCUGGCAACUGCUCGCGUGGGUCUCGCUCGUUGCCUGACUAAACAGGAUGCUUCACAGUACGAACUGACGACGGCCAUGCACCUCCUCUCAGCUAGUCAAGUAGAGUCUUCAUCCCGACUAUCAUUCAGCUGUCUUAUCCGGUGAGAUUUCCGGCGUUGAGUCCGAUUAAACCGCAGGCUCCACCCGUUGUGGUGCUCCCCCGCCAAUUCCUUUAAGUUUCAGCCUUGCGACCGUACUCCCCAGGCGGCGCGUUUCACGGUUUCCCUUCGGCACCUCAGUGACACGUGGUCACUGACACACCUAACGCGCAUCGUUUACAGCUGGGACUACCCGGGUAUCUAAUCCGGUUUGCUCCCCCAGCUUUCGUCCCUCACUGUCGGACCCGUUCUGGUGAGAUGCCUUCGCCAUAGGUGGUCCCACCGGGAUUACAGGAUUUCACUCCUACCCCGGCAGUACCUCUCACCUCUCCCGGUCCCUAGAAAUGCAGUUUCCCCUGAACGCCCACCAGUUAAGCUGGCGGAUUUCUCAAGAGACUUGCAUAUCAAGCUACGGACCCUUUAAGCCCAGUAAUAGUGGCCACCACUCGAGCCGCCGGUAUUACCGCGGCGGCUGGCACCGGUCUUGCCCGGCCCUUUCUUCACCAGUUAUUUACACUGGCGGACAGCCAGCCUGUGCUGGCACUCGGGGUUUCCUUAUCACGGUUGCCCGCAUGGUAAAGUUUUCGCGCCUGCUGCGCCCCGUAGGGCCUGGAUUCGUGUCUCAGAAUCCAUCUCCGGGCUCUUGCUCCCACAACCCGUACCGAUGACAGGCUUGUUGGGCCGUUACCCCAACAACUACCUAAUCGGCCGCAGACUCAUCCUGAAGCGACGGAUCUUUCGUUCGCAUAACAUUCCAGUCAGCACGAACUAUGGAGUAUUACCCCCAGUUUCCCGGGAUUAUCCUCCACUUCAGGGCAGAUUGUCC
rnacentral:rRNA from 1 species